GCGGGAGCGGGAGCUGUGGGCACUUUCCACGGGUGAGGCCUGGAGAACGGGUGGACGUGCAGGCUAGAACCCGGGACCUGCCUGGCUGCGCCCCCAGACUCUCCGCUUCCCACGAGCCUCGGAGUGGCACCCUCUCCUGGCCGUCUUCUCUCGUGGGGCCCGAAGAACGGGUGCAAAGCCGAGUUCGUCCACUGUACUGCGCGGGCGCGCGUUUCGUUCUUCGGGUUUGCCGCGGUUCUGUGACUCCCUAAAGGUUGAGGGCUACUGAAUAGGAGAAACGCCGAGCUGGCUUCUGGUGGGCUGCCGGGCGCUGGGCAGCGUGCUUGGGCUGGGCAGGGCAGGGCGUGUUUACUCUGAGUAGAGCAACCGCAAGACCUUUAAAAAUACCAGUUCUGAGCUUCGGCGUUGGAGAGGCCGCCUGUCAUUCAGCCUCUUAAGACCCUCUCUCACUCCCUGUCUUCCGGAGCGUGAGUGAAGCCCGGGUGAGGUGUUUUCCCACACGCCGGGGGCCCGGAGCUGAGAAGGGGCAUGGCCAGCAUCACGCAGCUGUUCGACGACCUGUGUGAGGCCCUCCUGCCGGCUGCCAAGACUCACCUGGGCCAGCGCAGUGUGAACCGGAAGAGGGCAAAGCGGAGCCUCAAGAAGGUGGCCUACAACGCUCUUUUCACAAAUCUUUUUCAAGAUGAGACUCAACAGCUGCAGCCUGACAUGUCAAAACUACCAGCGAGAAACAAGAUCCUCAUGUUGUCCUUUGACUUGAGAGUGGGUGGCCUGGGCCCCAAGGCCGACCGUUUGGAGGAGCUUGUGGAGGAGCUUGAAGCAGCCCCUUGCUGUCCGCUUUUGGAGGUGGGGUCUGUUUUGGACCUCCUGGUUCAGCUGGCAGGGAGUGGUCCCCCUCAAGUUCUGCCGAGAAAACGAGACUACUUCCUUAACAACAAGCAUGUGGGGAGAAACGUUCCGUACAGCGGCUAUGAUUGCGACGACCUGAGUGUGUUUGAGAUGGACGUUCAGUCUCUGAUCUCCAGAGAAGAGUGUUUGUGUCACAGCAUGAUCCAGGAAACACUUCAGGUUAUGGAGGCUCCUCCAGGCACUGGCCUGCCCACCGUCGGGCUCUUCUCAUUUGGUGACCCUUGUGGUGACAGGUUCGAGAGAGACACCCGGGUCUCGCUCUUCGGAGCCCUUGUGCACAGCCGCACUUAUGACAUGGACGUCCGACUGGGCCUGCCCCCCGUGCCAGACAAUGCGGACCUCUCUGGGCUGGCCAUUAAGGUCCCACCGAGUGUGGAUCAGUGGGAAGACGAAGGAUUCCAGUCAGCGUCCAACUUGACUCCUGAUUCCCAGUCUGAGCCCAGCGUGACCCCAGACGUGGACCUGUGGGAAGCCGCACUCACCUAUGAGGCCAGCAAGCGGAGGUGCUGGGAGCGAGUCGGCUGCCCCCCUGGCCACAGAGAGGGGCCUCACCUGACGGAGGCGGGAAGGGACGCUUUCGACAAGUUCUGCAGGCUCCGCCAAGGGGAGCUCCAGCUGCUUGCCGGGGGCGUCCUACAGGCCCCGCAGCCCAUGCUGGUGAAGGAGUGCGAGCUGGUGAAAGAUGUGCUGAACGUCUUAAUUGGGGUCGUGUCUGCCACGUUUUCCCUCUGCCAGCCGGCCCAGGCCUUUGUGGUGAAGCGGGGCGUCCACGUGUCAGGAGCGUCUCCCGAGAGCAUCAGCAGCCUGCUCUCGGAAGUGGCCGAGUAUGGGACCUGCUACACGCGCCUGAGUCACUUCUCUCUGCAGCCCGUCCUGGACUCUUUGUACAGCAAGGGCCUCGUGUUCCAGGCCUUCACCAGUGGCCUGAGGAGGUACCUGCAGUAUUACCGGGCCUGUGUCCUUUCCACUCCGCCAACCCUGAGCCUCCUCACCAUUGGUUUUCUCUUCAAGAAACUUGGCCGGCAGCUCAGGUACCUGGCCGAGCUCUGUGGCGUUGGCGCUGUGCUCCCGGGCACCUGUGGAGGAGGCCCCAGGGCCGCGUUUCCCACCGGCGUGAAGCUGCUGUCCUACCUCUACCAGGAGGCGCUGCACAACUGCAGCAACGAGCACUACCCUGUGCUGCUGUCCCUGCUGAAGACCAGCUGCGAGCCCUACACCCGGUUCAUUCAUGACUGGGUGUACAGCGGGGUGUUCAGAGACGCUUAUGGCGAGUUCAUGAUUCAGGUGAACCACGAGUACCUCAGCUUCCGAGAUAAGUUGUACUGGACACAUGGCUAUGUGCUCAUCUCCAAAGAGGUGGAGGACUGUGUUCCCGUGUUUCUGAAGCACAUUGCCCACGACAUAUACGUCUGCGGGAAGACCAUUAACCUGCUGAAGCUCUGCUGCCCCCGGCAUUACCUCUGUUGGUCCGACGUCCCCGUCCCCCGGAUCUCGGUGAUUUUCUCCCUUGAGGAGUUGAAGGAGAUUGAGAAGGACUGUGCCGUCUACGUUGGGCGCAUGGAGAGGGUGGCCCGCCACAGCUCUGUCAGCAAGGAGGAGAAGGAGUUACGUAUGGAAAUUGCAAAACAAGAAUUAAUCGCUCAUGCCCGGGAAGCAGCAUCCAGGGUCCUGAGUGCACUGAGUGACCGGCAGAUGUCAGAACGGAUGGCCUUGGACGCCCGGAAGCGUGAGCAGUUUCAGAGGCUGAAAGAACAGUUUGUGAAGGACCAGGAGGUGGGUAGGACCUGUCCCUGCGGGGUCAGGCCUGUCAGUCCUGAUUUCACAGGACAGGCUCUGUGUGUUUUAUAGCGACGCCAGGCGGCCAGGCAGGAGGAGCUGGAUGAUGACUUCAGCUACGCCCGUGAGCUCCGAGACAGGGAGAGAAGGCUGAAGUCCCUGGAGGAGGAGCUGGAGAGGAAGGCGAGGCAGGCUCUGGUCGACCACUACAGCAAGCUCUCUGCAGAGGCAGCUCGUCGGGAGCAGAAGGCGCUGUGGAGAAUCCAGAGGCACCGACUGGAGAGUGCACGGCUUCGUUUUCUCUUAGAAGAUGAGAAACACAUUCAGGAGAUGCUGAAAGCAGUGUCUGAGGCUCACCAGCCCCAGGAGCCGCCAGAUGUCCUGUUAAGCGUGCACCCCCAGGUCACAUCUCCUGGCCCUGAGCACCCAGAGGGAGGCCAAGGCUGUGAUUCUGGGUCUGCGGAGCAACACUCGGCUGCCUGGGAUGGCCGGAACAGGCCAGGCCUGCUGACCCCACAGCCCCUUAAGCCUCUAGCAGUGGGGGCUGGUGGCACGGGGCUGCAGCAGGCGGAGGAGGCCAGACCCUUCUCUGACAGCCUCAGCAUUGGAGACUUCCUACCUGUGGGCCCAGGGGCUGAGCCAUCCAUGCAGACUGGCAUGGUCCCUCUCCUGGAGGUGGCGCUGCAGACCAUUAACUUGGACCUGCCCCCCUCAGCUCCUGGGGAGGCACCCGCAGUAGCCAGCACUCAGCCCUCCAGGCCACAGGAGUACGACUUUAGUACUGUCCUGAGGCCAGCUGUGGCCACCUCACCUGCACCAGGGCCCCUGCAGGCUGCAGAGUGCAGCUUGGGCAGCUCAGGGCUACAGCUGUGGGAGGACAGCUGUGGGAAGCUGGAUGCCUGUGGCUCCACCUUGCGGGAGACUCUGCCCCCUUCAUACCCACCCAGGCGUGCUGCUCUGGAGGAGGGGAGCAGCCAGCCCACAGAGCAGCUCUGUGGGCAGGCCCUGGGAGGAGCGGGGACACUGAAGACCUCUCUCCAAGUUGGCCUCUGAACUCACAGGAAGACACAGCUGCCCACAGCAGCCCAGGACCUGGUGAGGAGGAGGAGGAGGCAGGGGCGGCGGAGGCCCAGGGCAGGGAGCAGGCCUACCUGGCAGGCCUGGCAGGGCAGUACCAUUUGGAGCGGUACCCGGACAGUUACGAGUCCAUGUGUGAGUGCAGCAGCUGCUGCUGGCAGGGAGCCGUGGGCUGGCCGGUCCCCAGCACAUGCUCCAUCUCCUGUGGGUGGGGGCGGAGCCCUGGGCAGGCGGGUUCCCAGCACAUGCUCCAUCUCCUGUGGGCGGGGGCGGAGCCCUGGGCCGGCCAGUUCCCGGCACGUGUGUGCUCCAUCUCCCGCAGCCGAGCCACCCAUCGCCCACCUUUUGCGCCCUGUGCUUCCCCGGGCCUUCGCCUUCCCCGUGGACACCCAGGUCCAGUCUGCCACUGAUGAGACUGCCGUGCAGCUGAGCGAGUUGCUGACGCUGCCCGUGCUCAUGAAGCGCUCCAUCACAGCACCAUUGGCUGCCCAGUGAGUGCCCCUGCCCCAGUCUGCCCACCCAUCCCGUCCUGGCCCGCCCUGACUCCAGCUCCCUCCUGCCAGCAUCUCCUUGGUGAACAAGGCCGCUGUCGACUACUUCUUCGUGGAGCUGCACCUGGAGGCGCACUACGAGGCACUGCGGCACUUCCUGCUGAUGGAGGAUGGCGAGUUCGCCCAGUCCCUCAGCGACCUGCUCUUUGAGAAGCUUGGAGCUGGGCAAACGCCCGGAGAGCUGCUCAACCCGCUGGUGCUGAACUCUGUGCUGAGCAAGGCCCUGCAGUGCAGCCUGCAUGGGGACACCGCGCACGCCUCCAACCUCUCUCUCGCUCUCAAGUACCUGCCCGAGGUGUUUGCCCCCAACGCCCCGGAUGUGCUGAGCUGCCUAGAGCUCAGGUACAAGGUCAGCAGCAGCCCUGGUCACGGAGGAUGGGACAGGGGCCUGCCUGUGGGAUGCCUGCUGAGCCACACCUCCCGGCAGGUGGACUGGCCCCUCAACAUUGUCAUCACCGAGGGCUGCCUGAGCAAGUACAGCGGCGUCUUCUCCUUCCUGCUGCAGCUGAAGCUCAUGAUGUGGGCGCUCAAGGACGUCUGCUUCCACCUCAAGCGCACAGGUGAGGCCCCGCCGGAGCCCGGCGCCCCGUACCCCUGACUUGAGGCUGUGCUCACCUCUGCCCUCUGCCCUCUGCCAGCCCUGCUGAGCCACAUGGCCAGCUCCGUGCAGUUCCGCCAGCUGCAGCUGUUCAAGCACGAGAUGCAGCACUUCGUGAAGGUCAUCCAGGGCUACAUCGCCAACCAGAUCCUGCACGUCACCUGGUGCGAGUUCAGGGCCAGGCUGGCCACCGUGGGUGACCUGGAGGAGAUCCAGCGUGCGCAUGCAGAGUACCUGCACAAGGCCGUCUUCAGGUGAGGCCUGGGCAGCGGCUGCGUCCCUGUGGUCACAGCUCAGCCCACCCAGCAGUACUGCUUCCCCCCAGGGGCCUGCUCACGGAGAAGGCGGCGCCUGUCAUGAACAUCAUCCACAGCAUCUUCAGCCUGGUACUCAAGUUCCGCAGCCAGCUCAUCUCCCAGGCCUGGGGGCCCGCUGGGGGCCCGCGGGGUGCAGAGCACCCCAACUUUGCACUCAUGCAGCAGUCCUACAACACCUUCAAGUACUACUCCCACUUUCUCUUCAAAGUGGUGACCAAGCUGGUGAACCGGGGCUACCAGCCCCACCUGGAGGACUUUCUGCUGCGCAUUAACUUCAACAACUACUACCAGGACGCCUGAGGCUGCUCUUCGGGGGACAUGCACAAUAAAGUGUCCUUGGACCCUG
rnacentral:sRNA from 1 species